GUAAGUCUAUUAUUACAUCCUUUCAAUUUUUUUCUCUUAGGUCUUCUGAAUCUGGAUUGCAUGAGGAGCAUUAAGGACCAUUUUGUAUGUCUGCUCCUGAUAGAUUGAUGCCCAGUUUACCUCACUUAAAUCAACUGUAUCUGACUGGACCAAUUCCUGGGUGAGUUAAUUGAACAUGGCUAAACCCAAAAUGCCGGACUAAUCCAAGGAAAUAGGAAGAGGUGAUGACUAUGAAGAUUCUCAGCUUUCAGUAAAGGCAGGUCUACUGGAGACAGAAUUAGAAAACAGCUGGCAUACAGGAGGAAGAAAAAAUACAGCCAGGCAUUCAUUCUGGGAGGUGAUGGCCUGCUGGGUCAUAUGAGGUUACCAUCUGAACAAGUUAGUGGAAUC